AACGAACGCUGGCGGCAUGCCUAACACAUGCAAGUCGAACGAGACCUUCGGGUCUAGUGGCGCACGGGUGCGUAACGCGUGGGAAUCUACCCUCAGGUUCGGAAUAACUCAGAGAAAUUUGAGCUAAUACCGGAUGAUGACGUAAGUCCAAAGAUUUAUCGCCUGAGGAUGAGCCCGCGUAGGAUUAGGUAGUUGGUGAGGUAAAGGCUCACCAAGCCGACGAUCCUUAGCUGGUCUGAGAGGAUGAUCAGCCACACUGGGACUGAGACACGGCCCAGACUCCUACGGGAGGCAGCAGUGGGGAAUAUUGGACAAUGGGCGAAAGCCUGAUCUAGCAAUGCCGCGUGAGUGAUGAAGGCCUUAGGGUUGUAAAGCUCUUUUACCCGGGAUGAUAAUGACAGUACCGGGAGAAUAAGCUCCGGCUAACUCCGUG
rnacentral:rRNA from 1 species